rnacentral:rRNA from 1 species
CAUGCAAGUAGAACGCUGAAGAGAGGAGCUUGCUCUUCUUGGAUGAGUUGCGAACGGGUGAGUAACGCGUAGGUAACCUGCCUUGUAGCGGGGGAUAACUAUUGGAAACGAUAGCUAAUACCGCAUAACAAUGGAUGACACAUGUCAUUUAUUUGAAAGGGGCAAUUGCUCCACUACAAGAUGGACCUGCGUUGUAUUAGCUAGUAGGUGAGGUAAUGGCUCACCUAGGCGACGAUACAUAGCCGACCUGAGAGGGUGAUCGGCCACACUGGGACUGAGACACGGCCCAGACUCCUACGGGAGGCAGCAGUAGGGAAUCUUCGGCAAUGGGGGCAACCCUGACCGAGCAACGCCGCGUGAGUGAAGAAGGUUUUCGGAUCGUAAAGCUCUGUUGUAAGUCAAGAACGGGUGUGAGAGUGGAAAGUUCACACUGUGACGGUAGCUUACCAGAAAGGGACGGCUAACUACGUGCCAGCAGCCGCGGUAAUACGUAGGUCCCGAGCGUUGUCCGGAUUUAUUGGGCGUAAAGCGAGCGCAGGCGGUUUGAUAAGUCUGAAGUUAAAGGCUGUGGCUCAACCAUAGUUCGCUUUGGAAACUUCAAAC